UGGAUAUUGUGAAUAUUGUUUACUUGU
rnacentral:sRNA from 1 species